ACUUGUCCCGGAGCAAGACUUCUGUGCCCUCUCAGUUACCUGCACGGGUAUCGCCGAGACAGCCGGCCAAAGAUCUUGCUGCAGUCCACACAGCAUCCGGGGGCCAUGGAAGACAGCUGCUGGGCUUUCUGCCACAGGAAAGAAAAUAGAGCUUCAGAGAGGAAAUCACACUGCUGAGGGCCACAAGGUUUGGAAGCCAGGCCUCACUGUGGCUCCAGAAUCCUGCAGCUUCUCUGCACCUCCAUUGCCAAAGAACAUCCGGGGGUUUCACCGUGCUCCCCUUCUUCAUCAGCGCUCUUGCUUCCUUACAGCUUAGCCCCAUGGAGCAGCAGCCUCCAGCCCCUGAGAGCACAGAUCAGUCUGGAAUAGGCAGGUCUAUGGGGACAGAUGAAUGCUUGCCUAGAGCUGGCAGGUUGGGAGAAAAUGGCAGUGACUGCUCAUGGUACGGGAUUUCUCUUUGCGGUGAUGAAAAUGUCCUAAACCAUGGUGAUCGAGGCACAAUUUUAUGAAUACACAAAACCCCACUGAACUGUUUAAAAAAAAAAAAAAAGCAAACAUACUUAACAUUAAAGCCAAAAGUCAAUUCUUGUCCCUUCUCUA